GAACUAUAUAAAACACAGAACUCUCUUAAGUUCUUAAGUAAAUGAAAGAUGAAUGUAGAACUCUAUGCUGUUCUCUUCUCACUGGCUGUAGUGGGUGUACUCGGACAAACUGUGGAGCAAACUGAGCUCUUUUGGACAAAGUCACUGAAUAAGAGAGCUUAUAUCAGCUGUAAAGUGACUGGACUUCAGAGCAGCAACUACGUCCACUGGUAUCAACAGAAAGGUGGAGAAGCUCUAAAAAGGAUCCUGUACGUUAAUAAAGAUGCCUCUAGCACUGUUCGUGAUCCAAACCAUCCUGAAGCAAAAGACUUCUCUGUGACUCUAGAGAAGGGUGAUGCAGGUGAUAAUUAUGUUCUGAAGGUGGGCUCAGUGAAGCUCAACCAUGCUGGAGUUUAUUACUGUGCUGUCUGGAGGGGCAGCCACAGUGAGAUAAACUGCUCACAUCCUGUACAAUAACUACUGUAACUCUGCCAGUGUUCAACCUGAAAGUUGCACAGCACAAUCAA